AUUGAACGCUGGCGGCAGGCCUAACACAUGCAAGUCGAACGAGUGGCGGACGGGUGAGUAAUGUCUGGGAAACUGCCUGAUGGAGGGGGAUAACUACUGGCAACGGUAGCUAAUACCGCAUACCAUCAGAUGUGCCCAGAUGGGAUUAGCUUGUUGGUGGGGUAACGGCUCACCAAGGCGACGAUCCCUAGCUGGUCUGAGAGGCGGACCAGCCACACUGGAACUGAGAAACGGUCCAGAGCCCUACGGGGGGCAGCAGUGGGGAAUAUUGAACAAUGGCGGCAGGCCUGAUGCUGCAAUGCCGCGUGUAGGAAGAAGGCCUUAGGGUUGUAAAGUACUUUCAGCGGGGAGGCGUUACCAGCAGAAGAAGCACCGGCUAACUCCGUGCCAGCAGCCGCGGUAAUUC
rnacentral:rRNA from 1 species